AACAAAUUAAUUACACCAGCCUGGUGUUUUGUUGCAGCACCACUGGUACCACUACCGACAACAUAAUAGCAAUCAUCUCCUUAAAAUUUGAUGCUCCAAUGAAAUUACUGAACUUUUACACAGCAGAAUUUUGCUCUGUGGGGGAGGAAGUAAGUUGAUUACAUCAACCCCAGUGCUCAACUGGUACUUAUUUUAGUGGCCCCCAAAAAGAUAAAAAGUAUAGUUGGCCUCGGUGGAAUUUGAACUCAGAAUGCCAGAAAGAGUUGGAGUUUCCUUCUUCCUUGAAUGCAUCAGAGAGGGCUUACAUCCAUCGGCUUGCUGAGAGUCUUGGACUGAAAUCUAAAAGUCGAGGCUACAGUGGCCCCUCUUCCACAGAGUUUACUAGUCUCAUGCCACUUCAA